GGAAUGGAAAGCCCGGUACAAGCGAGGUACCAGUAUGGUAGGAAAACCCGCCAUGCAAUGGGAAGACGUGAUGUGGAGUGAAAUAUAGUAACGAAGCCCGUGAGCCAUGCGUCAAGAAAAGCCGCUAUUGUUUAUAUUGUACCCGUACCGUAAACCGACACAGGUGGAUGAGGAGAGAAUCCUAAGGCCGGCGGAAGAAGUAUUGCCAAGGAACUCGGCAAAAUGGCCCCGUAACUUAGGGAGAAGGGGUGCCUGCGAGAGCAGGCCGCAGAGAAUAGGCUCAAGCAACUGUUUAGCAAAAACACAGGUCUAUGCGAAACCGAAAGGUGAGGUAUAUGGGCUGACGCCUGCCCGGUGCUGGAAGGUUAAGAGGAGAGGUUAGACGCAAGUCGAAGCUUUGAAUUUAAGCCCCAGUAAACGGCGGCCGUGACUAUAACGGUCCUAAGGUAGCGAAAUUCCUUGUCGGGUAAGUUCCGACCCGCACGAAAGGCGUAAUGAUUUGAGCGCUGUCUCGGCAAUACAUCCGGUGAAAUUGAAGUGCCAGUGAAGAUGCUGGCUACCCGCGCCAGGACGGAAAGACCCCAUGGAGCUUUACUCCAGUUUGGCACUGGGGUCCGGUGUUGCAUGUACAGGAUAGGUGGGAGGCUGAGAGAUAGUGACGUCAGUUGCUAUGGAGCCGCUGUUGGGAUACCACCCUUGUGAUAUUGGGCUUCUAACCAGCCGCCGUGAACCGGCGGUGGGACAAUGCCAGGCGGGGAGUUUGACUGGGGCGGUCGCCUCCGAAAGGGUAUCGGAGGCGCCCAAAGGUUCCCUCAGAAUGGACGGAAACCAUUCGAAGAGUGCAAAGGCAGAAGGGAGCUUGACUGCGACACCGACGGGUGGAGCAGGUACGAAAGUAGGGCUUAGUGAUCCGGUGGUAUUAAGUGGGAAUGCCAUCGCUCAACGGAUAAAAGCUACCCUGGGAUAACAGGCUUAUCACUCCCAAGAGUUCACAUCGACGGAGUGGUUUGGCACCUCGAUGUCGGCUCAUCGCAUCCUGGGGCUGUAGUAGGUCCCAAGGGUUGGGCUGUUCGCCCAUUAAAGCGGUACGCGAGCUGGGUUCAGAACGUCGUGAGACAGUUCGGUCCCUAUCCGGCGUGGGCGCAGGAUAUCUGAGAGGAGCUGUCCUUAGUACGAGAGGACCGGGAUGGACGGACCGCUGGUGGACCGGUUGGCUUGCCAAAGCCAUGGCCGGGUAGCCAAGUCCGGAAGGGAUAAACGCUGAAGGCAUCUAAGCGUGAAGCCCCCCUCAAGAUGAGAUAUCCCAUUCUUUAAGAAGUAAACCCCCUUGAAGACGACGAGGUAGAUAGGGCAGAGGUGGAAGUGUGGUAACACAUGGAGCUGACUGUUACUAAUCGGGUGAGGGCUUGACCG
rnacentral:rRNA from 1 species